AAUCAAGUUGGACAUCAAGAAUCUCAUGGCAUAGACUUCCCCAAGGGCAGUCCCAUUUCACAAAAUGAAUUUUCAUUUUCCAAAGCUCAUCCCUUAGUUCGAUUUCUGUUUUUCAGGGCAUUUGUUUAAGCUCUGAUGGCAUGUCCAGAAAAGAACAGACCCCAACAAUUUCCUGCCCGAGUCCCAUCCUUCCCUCAAAGCCUUGGCUUGACCUGAGCAUUGAGCUAAUUCAUUUCUUUGAUCAAACUGGGGACUGUCUGAGCAGUGGGGUGGGCAGCAUGGGACAGGGAUAGGGUGGGUGUGUACAGGUGUGCAAGGCGGGCUACUUGAGGGGCGGGCGAUAGUUCAGGUCACCCUCCGGCUGGACCCACGAGGGCGCCGCGUUCCUCAUUCUACAAAUCGUACAAGUCGGGGCACAAGACAGAGAAGCCAGGUCACGUCUCUGCAGUUACACAGCUCACGAGUGCCUGCUGGGGUGGAACCUGGUCUGUCUGUCUGUCUAACACCAGAGCUGCUGCAGAGGGAGCCAAGAUUUGGGUGAGGGAGGGGCUCAGAGGUGGGGUGGAGGAUUUUUUUUUUUUUUAACCUGGUUGCCGUUGGUGUGCAAAUAAUAACGUAACUCUGCUUGGGGACUAGUGCUGUGACUAUCUUGCUGAGGGCGAAACAGGCACAGAGAGAUUCGUUUGCUUUCCUGAUGUUGCCCAGCUAGUUGGGGGUUGAGGCUGGAUUUGGGAGGUGGGCACUGACGUGUUAGCAUAUGUGCUGCAACCACUGGGCUCACUGGCUCGUGACAUGAGCAUAGGGGUCGAAGGCUCAGCCAUCUGGAUUUGAGGGCUUUUACCAGCUCCCCAGUGGUGGGUGUGCUCUGAGCUCAAGCUUGUAUAUUUCACACUCUCCCUUGACCCUUCUUUUUAGCCUUCAGCUGAAAAAUCCUGCAAGCCACUGAUCCACAGAAAAUAUUUAAGAAUACAUAUAUUACAUAUAUCUUGUAAACUUAUUUACAUAUAUAUAAACAUAUAUUUGGAAAGGGAUUGUAUCCAGGAGAUUUGGGAGUGAUUGUUUAAGGUAGAGGGAGGCAGGGGCAUGAGAUGGGGAGGGAUGGAGGUGGGAACCAUCAGUGGUAAUUGUCAAGCAUGGUUUUUUUUUUUACGUUUAAAGAUGUUUAUUAAAGUGUUAUUUUUUAAAAUUUAUUUAUUUUACUUUAAGGGUGGUUUUAACAAUCAAUACACUAAGAGAGAGGCAUGCUGGCAGCAAGGACAGGAGUGGGUCCUAAACCAGGGAUGGUGAUUAAUUCUCCACAACCGAGGGACAUUAAAAAAAGAGAUCAGAGUGGUUUGUGGCUAUUAAUUUUGUUAUUAAAAAUAAUCAAGGAAUAAAGAAAUAAGGUAAAAAAGGCCCCAAAUGGAACAAUUCUCAGAAUGUGUUCUGGGCAAAGGAUUAUACCUAAUCCAGGUCUGGUAACCUGACAUUAACAAGCAGAAAAGGCCUCGUAGGCUAUUUUCUUUCUUUUAAUGGGCUUUAUGUUCCAUAGAAUGGGCACACUGGGGUUUCUCUGCCAAAGAAGGUGACUGCGGACAAAUAAAAUCCGGCUUCAUGGGCGUUGAUUGAACAGUUAAAAAUGAAUGAAUGCAUUAACAAAAUUAGAGACAGGCAAGCAUGGACCAGUGAUGGCAAUGUGUUACCCACUCCCCAGCUUUAUAAAGAGAUCAUUGAUGAACAAGUAUUGUAUGUAUUUGUAUUGUAUGUAUUUAAGUUGGACAGUGUGACAUUUUGAUACGCACAUAUAUUGUGAAAUGAUUACCGUAAUCAAGCGAAUUAACGUAUCCAUCACCUCAUGUAGUUCCCUUUUUCUGUGUGUGCAGUGAGAAUACUUAAGGUCCGGUAAACACCUUUCUAUUCUCUGCCUCUAUGAGGUUAUUAUAAAAGAAAACCCAGGUUCCAGGCUGUUGAGGCUGUGGGUGGGAAGUGUAUAAACAACUAUACAGAAGAGUCAUUGGUCUUGGGCUGAAUGGUGACUUGAAGGGUAGUGACUGCAUAGUUAAAAAUGACUUACAUGAGUACAGAAGUGUCGAGUACCAAGAAUGGACCACAAAGACAGCGUUUUAUGACCUAAAGACUAAGAUUUAUCCAUUUAUGUACAAUUGUGGACUAUUUAAAAUAAAACAAGACUUUUACCUCAGUGGAUAGUGGUAUUUGGAUGUACUAAUCAAUAUUUUUGUUCUAGAUCAGUGAUGGGUUCAUCUGUGUUUGUUGUAUUUAAAAAAAUCCAGGAAAACAUUGAAAAGGGUGAGUAGGAGUUGAAGAUGAUUGUUACUCCAAGUCCGCAUUAUCUGCGUCCGUUAGGAAGAAUAUCUGGGUUGGUUCCUUCUUGGGUAAGAUGCAGAGGGACGUAUGUUUGUGAUAGUCAUGAUUCUUGUUUUUGAUUAGAAUGGUAAAUACACUCAUUGUAAUAAUAGAUGAAUGAUUACAUACAACGAGAGGUACGCUUGGACCAGUGGUGAGACUGUCAUGAAGCAAAGAUUAUAAUUAAUCCUGUGCUUCUCACCUGACGGCCAUUAAAAAAUAUCUAGGUUUUAAAAUUCUUUUCAAUAUCAGCCUUGUGUUCCACAGAAUGGAGGCUCCAGAGUGAAAUUAAUGAUACUUUGUCAAUGAAGGUCUUGAUUGUGAACUCUGUGAGAAAUGAGCCAUGAGCCAACCAAUAAUGAGUGCACUGCAGGUGAUCUGCUGCUAUGUAAUGAUGAGUCCUGGGCUCCUUUCUCUGUGGGCAAGGAGCAUGGAGGCCGAUGAAAGAUCUGACUUAUUCGUUAUACAGUGAUGGAGAUGUUGCUGACAUGUAGGUGGAUAAGGAGCAGAGAGGCACAUGUAAGUAACAGAGUUCUUGUUCUUGCUUUGAAGGGGAUUAUUCAUGUUGUCCAUGGAAUUAAUUCAAAGGAAUGAAUAGCUACCACAAACAUAAAUAGAAUUAAACAUGCUGGCUGGGCACAGUGGCUCACGCCUGUAAUCCCAGCACUUUGGGAAGCUG